rnacentral:lncRNA from 1 species
AUUUCUUUGAAUCCUCUUCGCAGCUUUUCUAUCUAUACACAUCAAAUAAAAAAACAAGAAUGAGACCUAGGCAGUCCUCAAGUAUCUAAAGAAAAUAUCACGCUGAUAUGGAUCUAUACACAUCAAAUAAAAAAAAAACAAGAAUGAGACCUUGCAGUCCUUAAGCAUCUAAAGAAAAUAUCAUGCUGAUAUGGAGCAAUUACUCACUACAGUAUAUAUACCAUAUAUGCCCAUAUCUUGAACAGUAAUAAGACCUUUACAGCUGCACUAACUACAAAUGCAGAGAAUGACCCUUAAUU